rnacentral:miRNA from 1 species
GACAUCGAUAUUCGACGUCAUAAACACAAUCAACUUUGGUGUUUAUGACGUCGAUAAUCGACUUCAUAAACGCGAUCAACUUUGGUGUUGAUGACGUCGAUAUUCGACGUC